rnacentral:misc_RNA from 1 species
GUUAAUUAAUUAAAGGUAAGUACAAAAGAAGCAAUCAGCAUAUAGCAUCAAAAGAUGUAGCUUUAGACUUUGAAGAGACUGACAAUAUUUAAUAAUAAAUAUUAGGAAAAAAAAAUCAUGUGUUUGAUUUGGGAAAUACACGUUCUUUUAUAAGUCUGUACUUUCUUCUUCCUUUUUUAGGUACACCAUACAUGAAAUCUGCACCUUUUUACUCUUUGUAUGUUGUCCAGAUUAUAUCAGAAUUCACAGAAUGAUAAGCUCAACUAUUGAGUUGAGGCUUACUUUUUUAAAAAAAUUAAAAAAACAGAAAGACUGUUUAGUUGAGGCACAUUACAAAGCGUUUCUAUCUAACAAGGAAAAUGGGUAUCCAAAAUAGUUAAAAGAACAUUCUUGACCAGACUAUUU